CAGGCAUGUGUUAAACAGAGAAUUUGUUUCUGGUAUAAAAAGAUGCCUGACUGCUCUGUGCACACACCAAACCAGCCCUUUGUGACUUGCACGGGUUGACUUGACUUCCAGGUUUUGAGACACUAGUUUUGAUCUAAAAGCCCAGCCUAUUGCUAGUGCUGCAGAACUGUUUGUUUGAUGCAAGGAGAAAACAGGGAUUGUGGCAGGAGCCAGGUCAGGCAGAUCCCCUUCGGUGCAAAACUCCUGGAGCGAGCUGCAGCAUUUCUGUUAAGGGCCUUCUGUGUUGGAGUUGACUUCUGCCACUCCGGGACCUUUCACUUGCAAAGUACAUUAUGGGGCUCCUUUGUUUAACAAGUCUCUGGGAGCUGCGAGAGAGAGAAUUAAUGCUGGCAUUUGGAAAGACAAGUGAUAGUGCUGCAUUGGAUUUGGGUUUCAUGUCAUUAUUUUCUGGUUCCGGAGUCAGAAAAAGCUGCUCAUUUACUUUUCAUGCAGCUGUACUGUUUUUUCCUGACUUCUUGAGGAGGCAGAGCUGAUGAAAUCGUGCUGUAGGAGACAGUUUCUCAGUUAAAUGCAUUUUAUUUUGACCUAUUUCCUUCCACUUGAGUCUAACAUUUGGUCUCUUCAUAGCCAAUAUUCUGUUUUAUGGAAAGGUUUUAAAGUUUUCCUGAAGGAGAUGAGUAAAAGGUGAAGUACCCAAGACAACCUAAAUUUAUAUUAUUCCUUUUGCCAUUAUUAUUAAAAAUAGGAAAGAAGAAGUAGUGUUGGGGAAAACACAGGGAAUGCUGAUGCAAUUAUACCUACAUGUGCAAAGCUACGUGCUUGCUUUUACUCUUGAAAUUUAGACCUCUGCUUUCCUUCUACAGACUGGGACAGUUCAUUUCAGUUGCAUUUUGCAACUACUGACAUACAUGUUCAUUCCUAAAUUCACUUCAUAUGCUUCCAAAUCCUUAGGACAACAUUCAGUUUAGGCACACCAAGAAAAACCUGGAGUGAUUCCACCCACCUAAAUGUAAUUACUCAGUGCUGAAUUAAAGGCACAGGUGUGUAACUUAAGACCCAUGUGUUUGGAGUAACAAGGAGAGAUCAAAAUCUCAGCUUUUGUCAUUAAAUUCAAUGUUUCUAGACCUUAAUCCAAGACACAUUUGUAGAGAGAGGUGAUAGCUUCUUUUUAGAGGCAUUACUAUUAUUAAACAGUGUUUUCUUGGACUGCUCACAUUUUCUCCCAGCUCACCGUCUAACACUAAUCUGUGACUAAAUAUUAAAAAAAAGUGAGCUGUGAAUGGUUUUAAGCUGAGACAAGAUUCUCACUGUUAAUGGCUUGGUCAGAGAGAGAGAGUAUUUGUUUCAGCAUGUAAAUCUCUUUCCUGCAACGCUUAAAGCUGCUGAUUCUGGAGUUUAGGAGGCCAGCGUGUCCAGAGCUGCUCUAGUCCCUGGGCUGAUGAGCUCUCCCAGCUGGGUAAAGCUCUGUCAGGAGCCAGUUUGUAGUGAAUUGACUGCAGGCAGAAAAUAUAAAAGCUCAUAGGAAACAUGAGCCUGACUCAGGAGCUAUUUCUGUUCAGGUGACAUUCUAAUCCAAGCGUGUGGUGAAUCAUUACAGCAAAAAUUGAUUGGACCCCAUAUCAAACGAGUAUUGAUAAAUAUGAAGAAGUUUGUUCUGAGUUAGUAAUAUAAGGGGUCUUUUAUAUAUAUGGUGCAUUACAACGGGGGGAUUCAGGGCUUUGUCAGACUGUCUAUAAAAAUUAAAAAAAUACACGUUUGUAAGAUUUUAGAAGAAAAGGUACAGUUUCUCUUCCCUGCAUGUGGCAAUUUGCUGAAUAAUGCAUCAUUUUGUCAACUCUUAUAUAGCAAUCGAGAAAUGCCCUACAGUGCUCCCUGCACACAGGAGACAAGAAUGCAGAUCGUUAUGGAAACAGGCUUGAAACUGGCUUGAAAUAAAAAUCUCAGUUCUAUACUUGUGGCUUUGAGGGCCUGGGCUGUUUUUCUUUUCCUUCUGGAGUAGCUGCGAUUCAUCUCGUUCGAGUGGAGUGAAUUCAUCCCGUUUCCGAGGCCAACGGGAGGAGCGAGCGGGCGGCCAUGUUGUGCGGGGGGCGGGGAGGAAGGAGCCGAGAUGGCGGCGGCUCCCUCACACACACGGCACAGGAUGGCCGGGGAGCAGCGGCAGCUCCCGCACGGCUCCCGGGCGCGCUCCCCGCCGCUCGCUCGGGGGACACCCGGCCGGAUCCCCGGGUGCCGCGCUGGAGGGCCGAGUAGGGCCCGGCACCCUGGGGGCGAGCGGGGCUGCCGAGAGGGGCUGGGACGGGCGGGCAGCAAUGGCGCCGGGACUGCGAGCGCUGCCCGCGCCGCUCCCUCGCCGGGCGGGCGCGGGGCCGCCCUUGGCCGCGGGAAGGGCGAGCAUCGGAGCAGCGCCCCGUCCUCGGGGCCCCCGGUGCCGGCCAGCGGGCUGCUCUUCGCCAGGUAGAAUGCCAUGAACAAUUCCUUAUUGUCUGAGUGGCUUCAGAGGAAACGUUCAUGAGUUAUUUUCUCAGAUGCAGGUAGACUGUCUUCAAAUACUGUCAUGUUUCUGUGCUCCUUCUGUCUAAAUUUGAGUUUCCCCAGCCUGCCUGGUUAGGUGUUCCUCAACCAGACGACAGGAGGAGACGGCAGAGAGAGACCGGGCUCACACAGGGCUGAGCAGCGAGUCAGGGGCUCUGCGCCUCAGGGCUCUGGCCUGUGCUGCAAACUCCUCUCACUUCUGCCUUGGAACCAGUGGAGGAGCACCUGGAGCACACCUGGGUGUUCCAAGGACAGAGACUCCCUGACUCACCAUGGCAGACAGGCAGGAGGAGGCGCGGAAGGGAGGGAGCCAGGGACCUCUUUGGAUACCUGCCAAGUGGACUCGAGCUGCUGUGAAUGUCUCGAGCCCUGCUCAGAACAGAGACGGCGAAAAGGAGAAUAGAGGAGAAGAUUCGGAUACUGCUUCUACCACGAGUGCGUGCAAUUAAAGGGUUACCCAAGAAUUUGCAACGGGAAAUUAACAAAUGUGAUAGUUAUGAAGCGUUUGUCCUGCUACUGACUGCACUGUAUCUAUUUUCAGAAAAAUAUUUUGGCACACGACACUGUUACAAAUGCAAGCAGCCAGGCUGCUUGGCCUGGAUUGCCUUUAAGUGUAAGACCUGUGAAGGCAAAUGGUAGUUUGAGCAACAUAAUUUGCGAGGAAUUUGGUGUAGAACUUGUGCUUAUGCAUUAUCACUUGAUACAUGGCAACGUAAUUUAGAACGAGCAAGAGGGUUACAGGUACUUGAAGCAUUGCUGUUGUUUGAAGCUGAAGAGCAGAGUCUAUUGGCUUACUUACACUGGUACACUACACAUAUUAUAAAAAGACUGAGUGUGAUCAAAGGUACAAAAAUUAUUGCAGCCCGGUGUGGGAAAGAUACACCCCUAACAACAAUAGUACCUUGUGGUCCCUUUAGAGGCAAUCCACAGCGAUACCUUAAUUUCUGUGUGAAAACAUACAAUCAAUUUGAAGGAAAAUGAUGAUCCUUUUAUGGUUUUGGGUUUUGGAGACAAUCUUAAUGACACAAGGGCACCCUAGCAUCCCUGUUGGACCCAGAGAAAACAUUUGGGUAACGUUUGCCAACCAAACAGGUCAAAUGGAUUUUUGUCUGAGUAUGGCCAAAGCAUCUGAUCCCUUUCAAACAUGUCUGAUUGGCAUUCCUUACCUUGAUACAGGUGACUUUAAAGGAUGAGUUAAUCCUAAUCCUACCAAAAUUGAGGUGGAACGUGCAUGCAAUGUAACCAAAGAAUGCACGAAUGGCACCAAAGGUAUGAUGUCUCUUUUGUUGGUGGCUAAUCUGAACAGGACAAUGACAGACAGUCCCAGUGAAUUACAACUAUUUGGAGCUGUGUAUGGAAAUGACUCUUGUUUCAGACUUAAUCUGAAAAAAGAAAAGAUCUUUUUGAAAUGGCAACAAACAAUUGGGAAUGUAUCCACCACAAACAUAACAGCACAAAGCCCUCCAUAUGACAAUGUAACCUGGUGCCAAGGUUAUGUCAGAAAUUUAACAAUGAAUGUGACAAAACCAAAAUAUUUACCACCUGGUUACUUCUUGAUUUGUGGCA